CGUGGGUCGGCGAGGGCCCGCCAAGGAAGGAGCGACCGACCGAGCCAGGCGCCCUCCGCAGACCUCCGCGCAGCGGCCGCGGGCGCGAGGGGAGGGGUCUGGAGCUCCCUCCGGCUGCCUGUCCCGCACCGGAGCCCGUGGGGUGGGGAGGUGUGCAGCCUGUGACAGACAGGGGCUUAGAGAUGCAAACAGACUCAGGGAGAGAAACAGAAGCUGAUUCUGUGACAGAAGCAGAUCUGUGCAGCACAGAUGCGGUGUGCGUGGGGAGGGGGUCGCCUGGGAGCGCAUUGCGGAGUGCUUGUGUGUGCAGAUUUUUCUCUGGGCUCAGGACUCAUUGUAUGUGGGUCAACACCUUCCUCCGUGACUGUGUUUUUGUUCUGAGCUGAGUUUUUUGGUUUGCCCUUAAAAAAAUAAUAAUUUGGCAUCCAGAGACUGGCAGACUGCCUCAGGGCCUGGACUGCGGAUAUAUUGUGUUCUGCUUGAGGUUUGGGGAGGAGGGCAGGCGGUAGGAAGGGAGAGGGGGAGCUGUUUGUCACACUUUGCUGUAGAGCUGAGAGCACCUGACAAGCUUAAGGAAGUCGUUGGGCUAUGUGGACAAGAAGGAGCCAGCUCCCAGCGGGUUCACAAGCUCUAUCGGAGUUGAAAGCGUGGUCAUGGCUCUAAGGAGCACCUCACGCCCUCCCUGUAGCUGUUAUUGCAGUUUCAGGCAGAGAUCCAGGAGCUGCAGAGGAAGGGAGAGGCACAAUAACCUACAUGGACCCAAGGGAGACAUGUGUUCCUUUAAAAAUGUGAACAGAAGGAAAAACAGAAUGUGUGCAACUGGGGGUCUGAGGAAAGACUGUUUUGAAAGAGGCUGUCAGGGAAUGGAAAGGGUUAAGCUUUUCAUCCUGAAGAACCUGCUUCCCAAAUCAGGCCUUCCUCCCAUCACUAGACCCUGAGCAGCAGCUGGUCCUAGAGACCCCCCUCGUACUGCGCUGCCACAGUCUCAUCCCAUUUCCAGCUCUGUAUUAACCACCAAGCUGCAGCGGAUGGGGCAAGACCUAAGCUCAUUAAUUUCCAGGUGGAGGAAAUGGAGGAGGGGCAGGUCCCUGCAGUAGAGGGAGGAGCAGAGAAAGGAGGCCAAGAGCUGGAUCCUUCUGCCCAGGAAGCCUGCUGCAUCCCUUCCCCCGAGCAUGGCAGAGGCCUGGCUUUGCAAGGCCAAGGCCAUAAGGGAUGCUUAGGAGAUUAAUUUGAUUCCUGACACAAUAAUCAAGCCCUAAGAGUCUCCACUGAAGCUUACUGAGGACUUCUUUCCUCUCCAAAGCCUCAGUCUAGCCUGCUAAAUAAAUUAGUAUUCAGUGAUGCCUUGGAUCAGGGCCCCUCCCCGGCCUCAGUUUCCCCAAAUAUUUAUUAAGUACCUACUGUGUGCAAUCCUUGUGUAAUUAUUAACUCUUAGGCUCUUCAUUUGCCCUCCUAAAGCAGUGUUUAGAGUCAGGCAGAGGUUAAGUGUGUUGCACCUCACCUAGAUACUUCCAGAACCUUCUCUGGGUCUGCAGAAUGUGGCACAACCUGCUUGCCCCCGCAGAGAGAAAGCUGCAGUGCACAUCCUGCAGACUGCAGGUGCUGGGCUGCCUCUGGAGUCCCAGAAGGCAAGCUUGGCUGCAGGACAGAAAGGGAGAACAGCUUCUCUCACCCCUGAGCCUUCACAAGCCCUUGUCUAUUUGCCGUUGCCUUCAAAAUAUACCUCCCCCGAAACCAGUAGCUUUCUGAGUCCUGGUGUCCCCUCCGCCCUUUCUGGACAGGUUUGGGAAGAAGAAAGCAGUCAGUGCUGGGCCUUAUUGGGGUGUGAAGCGCCUUGCUCUGCCCCUUCUGCUCACUGUGAAGGCCGCUGGAUGCUUCUCUUAGGCAUGGUUUAAGCCUCCGAUUACUAAACCCCUUGCCCCACAAACGUCCACAUUGACGAGCCUCUUUUUAGUAACUGCUUCCCCGUAAUUCCUUCAGAGGUUGCUGUACCCUUCGCUGAUGUGCUGCCCUCCUGUAAAACCUCCAGAUGCCUUCCCACGUAAUGCCCCUUUCAGAUGCUUUAAGCUGAGAGCUUAAACCACAGGUACCAUGGCUGACGCCUGCCAGGUUUCUGCUGCAGAUAAUCUAUGAUGGGAGGGGCAUAUUUUUUACUUCAUUACUUAUGUAAACUCUUGUUCCAGAAAGCUUUAAUGUGUGUGGGAGUGUUCUGGGUCUAUUAGGUCUGUGCGCAUGGGUGUGGGCAUUUGCCUGUGUCCACCGGGUGGGUCUCAUUAUGAAAUGUAUGUUUAUGUAGGGCUUUAAUGGCUGAAAAUGGCAAAGAGAUGAAUAGACCACUUGGCCCCAUGUGUAAUUGCCAGGCCCCUUCUGUGCUCAAAUGAGGUGUCCGAGUGAAGGUCAGCCCUUCCCUUCUGUAUUUGGGGCCUAUUUAUGCCACCAGUAAUUUUAUAAGAAAUCUGAAUAGUUCUCCCCUUUGAGUGCAUUUAACUCUUUAGUAUCUUCUCUCUUACCUAUUUGAGCCCCUCUAGCUACAGUCUGGCUUAAAUGAAAGGGGAAUUAUAUGCUUAAGAAAAAGUAGGACACGGUUGAGGCAGUUUGCUGACUGAAUACGCGAAGAAGGACCUGAUGGGCUCAUAUGCACCACUGCCAUCACAGUCCCCAUCGUGAUGCAAGCUUAUAUGAUUCUUGAGAAACAGCCCAGAUCUCCUCUUAAGCGGAAAAGAGAUUGACCUUCUAGCAGAGGCAAAGAAUGGAGUCUUCUGGGGGCAGCUGCAAAGCGUUCUCCCUAGGACAGAUGGAGCCUCCCUUUCCUCAUCUACUCUGUGGGUGGUUUCAGGGCCCACGAGUCAACAUGAGGAGUUGUGCUGGUGGUAUGUGUGUUGGAGGCUGGGCUGGCUGAUUCACAGUGACGAGGAUGUCAAUAAUAACAAGAAUGAGAAUGAUGGUACCUAAUAAAGACUUUUUUUCCCAAGUCCCAUCUACAAUUCUUUCAUUGGGUGUUUUGCCAAGUCUUUCUCAAUCUCAUCUCAGCUUUUUUUUUUUUUUUAAAGAAAAUGUAUUCAAUACUUAAUUGCAUCACAAAUGUAGACAUAGAAGAAAGGACUUCAAACGGAAUUUAUGGGAGGCAAUGUGUGCGGCUUUUUGCCUUAUAGAGCUGUGUAGAAGGUCUGGAAUGAUCUUCCAGCACCAAAUUUAGAUGGCCUCAAAAAAAAAAAAAAAAAAAAAAAAAUCAGGCCUUAUUGAGGGCAAGGAAUGUUCCAGGUCAGAAAUAAAAGUGUCAGCAACUCUCAAUAGGUUCAUCUUUUUAUUUCCUG
rnacentral:lncRNA from 1 species